GACGAACGCUGGCGGCGUGCUUAACACAUGCAAGUCGAACGGAAAGGCCCCCUUGUGGGGUACUCGAGUGGCGAACGGGUGAGUAACACGUGAGUAACCUACCCUUGACUUUGGGAUAACUUCAGGAAACUGGGGCUAAUACCGGAUAGGAGCUCCUGCUGCAUGGUGGGGGUUGGAAAGUUUCGGCGGUUGGGGAUGGACUCGCGGCUUAUCAGCUUGUUGGUGGGGUAGUGGCUCACCAAGGCUUUGACGGGUAGCCGGCCUGAGAGGGUGACCGGCCACAUUGGGACUGAGAUACGGCCCAGACUCCUACGGGAGGCAGCAGUGAGGAAUAUUGCACAAUGGGCGGAAGCCUGAUGCAGCAACGCCGCGUGCGGGAUGACGGCCUUCGGGUUGUAAACCGCUUUCGCCUGUGACGAAGCGUGAGUGACGGUAAUGGGUAAAGAAGCACCGGCUAACUACGUG
rnacentral:rRNA from 1 species